AAAAAUUUAGUUAAAAUCCAUAACAUUAGCUUGUCAUGCUAAAAUUAUUUUUAAAAAACUAUAAUAAUUUUUA
rnacentral:tRNA from 1 species